rnacentral:lncRNA from 1 species
CAAGUGGGCUGUUUCCAGGAGGUGCCACUGGAGGGAAAAGGGCUGCCUGGGGCCAGGGAGGCUGCCUGGUUCUGCCUCCCGGGCUGGGUCAGUGGCUUUCCUGUCCCCAGGCCUGGAGGACCUUGCAGGGUCUGUUUGCUCCUGAUCCCUCAGGGUGGGCAUGGGACAGGUGUGUGCCAGUGCCAGCUGUGUGCCAGUGGGCAGGUCACAGCUUCUUCUUGGGGCAGUGCUGCAGGGCCGCCCUCAGGGCCUCCGUCACGCGGUCCACAUUCUCGCGGGUGGCAUUGCAGCCCAGCAGGCCGAUCCGCAGCACCUGGGGGGCACAGGGCGGGCUGACGUCAGCCUCCCGCCUGGGACCUGCCUGACCCUGACCGACAGCUGGCCAGAGCCAGGAUGGGCUCACCUGAGUGAGGACCACCCACCCAGCGUCCAUGAGGGGAGUUGACAGCCCUGUGCAGGUCACAGAGGGGGCCCUUGAGCACCCAGGCCAGGGCAGGCUCUCCUCCCUCUGCACCCGCAGCCACACGGGAGGACAGGGUGGUGCAGUGAAGGUCCCUCCCCACUGCCACUCAGAGACACAGCCAGGCCCAGGCGUGGGGCUUCCGGCCUGGUUCCAGGGUCUGGUCAGAGGGAAGGAAGGAUGUUCCGAGUGGAAUCAUAAAGGCUGCACCUGGUGACCUCAGUGGGCUGGGGUGGGAGCAGGGGCGACAGGAUACGCUUUACUGGAUACCCCUUGGAGAGUGGGCCCUUCUGGACGCUCCUGCAAUCUGGGCUUUCGGAUGACCCCGGCCUCCCCUGCACCUGGUGCACAGUCCUGCUCAAGGAGGGGUGGCGGGUUUGGUUUCUGCAAAAGGCCCUCGAGGCGCUCCCUCUCACCUUCCCCGUGGAGGGCCCAAGGCCACCCAUGAUCUCAAUGUCGAAGUGGUCUAUGACGUAGCUGACGAUGUCUCUCCAGUCAUAGCCAGCGGGUACAGCCACAGUGGUGACUGUGGGAAGCCGGAGCGCCUGCAGGAGGGGCCUGGCUCAGUGCGUGGGUGAGAGGCCCUGUACGGGCCUUUGUGACAGCUCUUGGCCUGCACCAUCUGCCCCAGCUUCAGGUUCCAGAGGAGCCGGGGGAGAAAGGGCCGGGAGAGAGCAGGGACCCCACCCCUUAGGAGGCGGUGGAUGGGCACCUUCCCACUGGGAGAUCACAGGCCGUCCUGAGAUCCCGCAUCAGAGGCCGGGAGCUGUGACUUCGUGGCUCCUGCCGAGACUAAUCCCUGGCACCGAGGCCACACCACCGGGCAGCCGCCCCCUCCUUCUCAGGAGCCAGUGUCCCUCUUGAGGGGGCUGGGCAAGAGCCCCUCAUCCUUCCCCAUGGGUGCAGGGCUGCCCAAUGCCAGGGGCCUCCUUACCGGGUCCUUCACGAAGAGCUGCAGCCCCAGUGCCUGCAGGCGCCCAUGCAGAUACGCCGCGGCCUCGCGGUGCUGGCGCCAGCUGUUCUCCAGGCCCUGUGUGGGAGAUGGCGCUGGUGGGCAGUGACAUGGGUGGGGUGGGCAGGAAGCCCCGCCCUCUGUGGUGCGGGAGGAAGAACCUGACUCUGCAGGCCUUGGUGCAGGGGAGCCCCUGGAGCCCCCAGUUUGACUUUGCCUGGGGCAGGGCCUGGGACUACCCCAGGGCAGAAGGAAACAUCUGGGUCUGGGAGAGACAGAGGAGGGUUCAGAGAGACAGAGGGGAGGUCUGCCUGUGGCCCCUGGGGGAGAAGAGUGGAGAGUGCCUUGCAGGGGGAGGGGACUGGGCAAGGAGGGGAAGGGCUGUUGGGCUACACAGGGCUGGAGUGGAUCAGGGCCAGGGCUCAGGGUGCUGGCUCCCAGGCCCCCUCUCCUCUCAGGGCCAGCUCCCCCGACCUGGCAUCCUCCGCAGCACUGCUCCUGCCUCAGCUCUGGACAGGUGAGGGGUGGUCUCUCCAGCCCUGGGCCCCUCAGUGCCAUUACCUCUGGUCACGGGUCCUCCCGGCCUCCAGCCACCAGCUCUCAUGGCCACCCCAGGUGGGUCCCCGGAGCAGCAGCUGCUCUCUACUCUGGCCCUGGCCCGUCUUCUCUGCGCAUGUGCCCCUGCAAUCUGCACUCUGCCAGGUCCCUGUGCCUCUGCCCUUGACUGUGCCCUGCUGUCUGGUCCUGUUCUCUUCCUUCUCUGCCCAGCUCACACCCCCCACCCACCUUUACGACCCUAGAGCCUUUCCCUGUGUGAGCGCCUGACCCCUCGCCUUCCCCCGCGGGUGCGGGUGGCAUUUAGCUUACAGGGGCACCCUGGCACUAACCCAGCCCUAGGCAGUGGCUUUAUGAGUGGACCCAGGAGGACAAACGUGGCAGGCACGGCCUUGCAACCUCAUGGGAAGCUGGCUGCAGCCCGGGGAUCCUUCCUGGACUCUGGACUGGUGGCUGGCAAUGGGCCCUGUGGGACACAGGACCCAGAUGAAAGUAGGUGGGACUUCCUGUCUCGUGGCCUGCAGAGCUGCUGGGCCUGAGGCCACUCUCAGCCGCCUGUGUCCUGAGAGUGUGGAUGUUGCAGUGUCCUGAGAGUGUGGAUGUUGCAGUGGCCAAAUCAACCCCUGGUCACACCCAAGUGCUCAUGCUCAGCUCUUGCCCUGCCAUAGGAGCUGGACAAGCCUGCAGGAACUGCCAACCCUCACUUUACAUCCACGCCCACCUAUCUGUGGGCACAUCUCUGGCCCCUUCGGCCUCCCCUUCUCCCAGCCCACCCACUCACUGGGCCUCACUUACUGCUUCACACAGCAAUGGAAGGGUUGGGAGCAUCCACACCUGCCCCAUUGCUGCAUCUGUCCCUGGGGCUGUAUCCCCCUGGCCCUGCCCGCAGCCAGUGUACCCGGGGCCCUGUCCUCUCUCCCCCACCCCCACUGAGGGCCUCUCUCUGGCAGGCUCCCUUUUCUCUGUGCACCAGGGAUGGUUCCUUCUCUGCAGGCCGCGCCCUCGACAAUCCAGCCAGUGGCCCUGUCUCCUCCUGUGGAGUGCAGCCCAUGCACCUGUUCCGCAAUGAGGGCCAGGCUCUCUCUCAGGCUGUACAGGCUGAUGACGGGGAUUGUGUGAUGGUACCUGGAAGACACGAGGGGGCUUGGUCCAGCACCAUGGGCAGGGUUGGGGGCAGAUGGGGCAUUAGCUCUGUCUGCCCCAGCCCCAACAGCACAGGCUCUCUGACCACAGGCCGGUAUCCUCCGCAGAGGAGUCCUGUCCGGGUUCAGAACUUUGGACCGGGAAGGCAGCUUCGUCUGCCAGGGAGAGCAUGGCUUGUGUAGGGCCCAGCCAGGAGGCAGUGGGUGGCUGCAGGAGCAGAGACACGUGCCACCACCUCCCUGCGGAGCCCCUCAGUCCCAGCGUGCCUGCGAAGCCGGCACUGGCCCUCUGUGCCCACUGGGCUAGGGCACCAUUCCUGGCGCCUUGUUCCUGUGUGUAACAUAAGGGGCCUUGGGUUUAUGGCCAAGGUCGUCUUUUCAGAAGGGGUAAGCUGAGGCCCAGGAGUGGGGAGAUGUGGCAGGGCCAGGUCCAAAGUGCCCGAGGGUGUGCUGGGACCUCUGGGGGGACAGUGUUUGUGGAAGCGGCAGUGGGGGCCAUGACCCUGCCCAGAGCCUCGGGCCAGUCGAGGAAUGGGGGAACCCAGGGUGGGGCAUUUGACUGCCUGAUGCAGGCGGAUUCUGGGGCUCUAGUUGGGGUUCUUGAGGCAUGAAGGUGGGGGGCUUGGAGAAUCCCUGAGUGCAGUGAGAGGCCAGCGCCCCACCUCUCAGCCAUGCCCAGCGCCCUCCACCUUCCCAUCCCUGCCAGGCCUCACAUCCUGGGCUGGUCGUCACAGCCCCAGAAGUUGGCCAGCCACUUGAUGUCCAGGUAGAAGGAGAAGGGCUUCGUCUUGCGGGAGUACAUCUUCUUUCUGGGGAGAAAGAAGCAGGCUGAGCACCAGCCUCUCAGUUUGGGCUGAAGGCCAGGGCAGUCUCGCUGGCUGUCCUGUUUCACGGGAGUGAGACGGGGUGGGGCCCCCAGGAGGGCCCGCCCCAGCUGCAUUUGUGCUCAGGGGCCAGAGUGGGACCGGGUGGGUCGUGGGUCCCUCAGCUGUCCAGUCCCGCUGGCCCUUGGGCCCAGCUGUGUGACCCUGCCAUGGGGGCACCAAGGCCAGCUCCCUCCACUCUGUGUGCCCCUUUCUCUCCCCCAGCCCCUCCUACAGGGUCAGCCUUCAUUUCUCACAUCACCCAAAGGUGACUGCUUUCGGGCCCCAGGGGACACUGGCCAGGCUUGAAACUUUAAAUGUGUCCGUCUCUACAACUCCAGAUGGAGGGGCCAGCCCCGGCCUCUCCCCAGGCUCCUGACUCACACCCAGCCGCUUCCUUCACCCUCCCGUGUGGUCCAGCUGGCAUCUCAGACCUCCCACGUCCAACACCGAAUUCCUGACUUCUCCCCGAAGUCCUCUCUGUUCUGGGGAACGGCACCUCCAGUUGCCAGGCUGCAGCUGGAUGGGAACCGCCUGUGAGGUCUGGCCCCCUUCCCCUACCCCCUGCCCGGCCUGGCUCAGAAUCUGGACACCAGGAGCGGGAGGUGAGAUUGGGACUGCAGGGGGCACUGUGUGUGGCCCACGUUGUCCCUUGGGGCAGCCCCUGGAAGCUGAGCCAGGGCAGAGGCCGGUCAGGGCACUGGGCCUCAGGCCCUCAGUCCUUUCCUGGUCACUCCUUGCUGUGAAGCUGGGAACUUCCAGAGCAGUGGACUCUGCACCCUGCACACGCCUGCAGCCCUCCCCUCGCCCGGCCUCCCCACUCCCUGUGAACGCAGUGCCUUUGGCCUCCCAGAGGGUGGGCGGGAGAGCGCCAGGUGCUGGAGGAGCAUGGGGAGCCCUUCCUGCCUGGCUCCCGCCCCUCCCGCCUCGGGCCACCUGAGCUCCCUGCAAGCCCAGCCCUGCACAGAGGUGAGGGUCUGUGGGUCACUCACUUGGCCUUGUCACUGAAGGAGAUGAGCGAGGUCCCUGGAGGGGCGUUCAGGGCCUUCUGGGAGCCCGAGUACAGGAUGUCGAUGCCUGUAGAUGGGUGGUUUGCUCGGGACGGGUGAGUCCCACCUCAGGGCAGGCCAGUCCAGCGGGAUGCCUGCCUAGCUAAUGGGCUGGUAGGCUACGACCCUACCACGAAUCCGUACACGAUAGCAGGGGAGAUGUGGAAGGGAGUCCUGGGUUCAAAUCUGGGCACUGCUGCGUGGCAGCCAUGACCUCAGGCCUGAGCGUUUUAGCGCAGCUUCUCCCUCUGCUGUGCUGGUCCCCAGGGACAGCCCUGCCACCCCAGGCACCGUGUCCCUGGGGCCCUCCCCAGGUCCCUGCUUUCAGUAGUAGUUUGAGGAUCAGCCCAGAAAUCCCUCCCUUCCUGCCUGAGAACUCCCAAAUCAGGAGGGGCUCUGCAGAAACAGACAGGCUCCCAUGGAGUGGGUGGGCAGGCACCGCAGUGGAUGCAAUGUGCAGGCUCUCUCCCGUAAGCGGAUGGGCACAGGAGGCUCCUUGGCCCCUCGGCCGGCCUGGUUGAGGUUCCCUGCGAGGUGACCCUGACAGUGGUGCUCACUGCUAUGGGCAGCCUGGCAGGGCGCAGGGCAGAUGUGAAACUGAGCCUCUGGGGGGUUGGGCAGAGGGGUGCCCAACGCCUGAUUGACUGGAGCCCUGGCCCUUCCUCUUCCCACUGCUUCUGCUACAGCUCUGGGGCAUCUCAAAUGUCCCCCACCAGAAGCUGUCCCUCCUGCCAGUCCCCACGCCUGGAUCUGAAAGCUCAGUGGAAACACUGGGGUGCUGGGUAGUUCAUGGAGCCGCUCUUGCCGCAGUAAGGAGUGAGUGUUUCCCUGGGCCUGGUGGAGAUGGGGCCGAAUCCGCAGCAUCGGCUGCUGGACGCACGCUUCCAGCAGGGCUUCCUGCACGCGGAGCCCCAAGGCUGCUUGGGCUGGGUAGGGCUCUCAGAGCCCACCCUUACCUUGCCGGUCCAUGUAAAGGGGGGUCCCGCCCAGGGAUGCCACCGAAUCCACCAGGAGCAGGCACUUGUACCUGGAGAGGUGGGGGACAGAAUGGAGGGCAGCAGGUGAGGCAGGGGGCCACUGGAGGGCCUGGCCCCAGGCUGGAUGGGGUUUCUGAGCCUCAGGCUGGCAAGGAAGGCAGGGCACCUCCCACCUCCACCCCAGGAGUUGGCCAGUUGCCUUCUCCUGCCUGUCAGGAUCCAUCAGGACCUGUGGCUCUUCCUUUCUCAGCCCUGAACAUUGGAGCAGAGGGAGCUGGGGGAGUGAGGGAGCAUCACGGCCCUGGUGAGACCCAGCUGCAGGGCCCGGCAGUGGUGCUGAAGAGGGUCAGCCGGGCAGUCUGUGGUUCCCAGGGACAGCGGGUGCCUGAGGGCCUGUGUGGACCCCAGGGACCAGGGUGGCACCAGGCUGGGCCUACCUCUGCCAACAGCUGCUCGGCCCAGCCACUGGCCAGAAUCUAGGCCAGAGGGGACAGAGUCCCAGAACAGCCCAAGCAGCAGCGCCACAAACUCUCACCCUCCUCCGCCUCCAUGUUCACGAACUCUCGCCCUCCUCCUCCUGCAUGUUCACGAACUCUCACCCUCCUCCUGCAUGUUCACGAACUCUCACCCUCCUCCACCUGCAUGUUCACGAACUCUCACCCUCCUCCGCCUGCAUGUUCACGAACUCUCACCCUCCUCCUCCUCCAUGUUCACGAACUCUCACCCUCCUCCUCCUGCAUGUUCACGAACUCUCACCCUCCUCCUGCAUGUUCACGAACUCUUAUCCUCCUCCACCUACAUGUUCACGAACUCUCACCCUCCUCCGCCUGCAUGUUCACGAACUCUCACCCUCCUCCGCCUCCAUGUUCACAAACUCUCACCCUCCUCCACCUCCAGGUUUUCUUAUAAAGAAAAAAGAGACACAGAAAGUAUCUCGUGCUGGCCGCAGGUGGGGAUGGCCUGGGUGUUGCUGAAGCUGGCCAGGUUAUGUUUGUGAGCUUUAUUCAUGGCCACGGUCCAUGCAGCAAGCUGUCUGGGCUGGGGGCCCUGUCAGAAGGACCCUCCCUGGCCGUGGAGUUUCUCUCCUCUGUCCUGUGCUCAGACCUGCAGACGGGACUGCUGGGUCCCAAGGGGCUCUGUCCGCAUUUCUCAGGAAUCCCAUCUGACUCCAUUCAAGGCCUUGCCCUGUGCACCCCCAUGCGGGGAUGAGGGAGGCUGGAGGAGGGAAGUGGAGGGCAUCAGGCAGCUUUAGUGUCCUGGCAAUCUCGGGGUGAGGUGGGGACAGGCCCUGGCAAGAUAUGGAAGUCUGCACCAAGCCCUCUUCAGCCCUGG